AUUGAGUGCCAUUGGGUUUCUCCUGGCUUUUGUGCUGAAUUGGGAGUAGCAAUUUCCAAAUCAUUUGUUUACUGUAGCAUGAUGCCAUCAGAAGAAAUUAUCAGAUUUGCAGCUGUGGGCUGGUGUUUUCCCCAAGCACCUUUUCUCUUUCCUUGUGUAAUACCUUUCAGUAUUUAUUAGGUUUGGUUGAAACCAAUCCUGGUGUUCAGUAGGGCUUUGGUGAGAAACUGGCUAAGCUUUCCUUCAACAACUCUUGGUGCCUGUCAGGGUGACUUGGUGCUUUACUAGCCACUGUGAACCUCCUCAGAGAAGAGACAUUAAAGAGCAAGAGAGGUUGUCCAGUUGGCCUCAUUCUCUCUGCUUUCCCUUCUUUGUGCAUGCAGAGUUUCCACUGUUUUUUUUCUUCUAUUAACCAUGCACAAUUUUUGUCUCGGUUGCCCUUUCUCUGGCUGGAAAUGUGGAAACUUUGAGCAGAAAUUUAUUUUAGCUGAGCUGUUAAGAAAAAAAAAAUGAGAAAAAUACUUCUGUAAAUAGGCAAGACAUUUAAAACUGAAAUAAACAGAUUAAGGUAUAGAUGGGUGAAAAAGCCAUUUAAAAUAUUAAUCGUUUUGGAAAUUUGCGGCUGUUACUCAAGUCACUAAUUUUAGUGCUAGCAAGAAAAUGUUUGGCAGAACAGGCAUGUUAAAAACAAACCCAGAAAGCAGUUUCAUGAUACUAUCCUGGGUUUGCAUUUUCAUUGUUUUAGUCAAGUUGUACAUUCUAAUAAUUUCUUCUCCCACUCACCAUAUUUUCCAGAAGUCAUUGUUCCAACAAAACAAACCCAAAAAAUACCUUAUGUAAACGAGUUAAUAAAGUUGGAUGCAAGACUUUC